UAUAAACAGAUUUUCAGCUGCAGGGAUGUCUCAUGGGAUAUCUGAGAUUUGUCUGCAAUUAUUCAUUUUGCAGGUCUGUCCCAUGUAUUGCAAAUUGUCUGGCCUCCCUGCUUUCUGCCUGCUAAACACCAGUAAAACAUCCCAUCACUGUGACAACAAAAGAGACCUUCAGAAAAUGCCAUCUGGAAGCCAGUGUACCCUGCUGAGAGACACAGUUACACGCAAACGCAGAGUGUUUACUACAGGAAAAGAGCGAGAAGAGUGCUGAGCUCCUGUGCUGAUCAGAGUUCAAAACUCAAGCUGUCAGGUCUAAUCACGACAUCCGCCCACUGUGUGUACAAAGGAAAGGAAAUGCCACUGGGACUGCCAUUUCAGUUCACCACCACGAUACCUCCUCUCAGAAUCUGCAGAUUUAUGUAUGAUAUAGCAGAAAAAUGCAAACCGCAGCAUUCCCUGCACGUUACGGGUUUGAAGUGGAUCCUCCCUUGGGGCUCAGGAUGGCUUGCUGGAGUGCUGAGCUACUCCACACGGAAGCCCCCAUCCCUGAGCACCCGCAGAAUACCCGAAGAGCUGCAAGCCACGGGGGACUCAGGCCAGCUCUACAUCUGGUGACCCCUGGGUGUUGCUGCAAAGUCCAAGCUUUGUCCUCUCACCCCUUGGCCCUACAGGAGGGAGGAAGCAUCCUACUGGGAAGAUUCCCUCUGCACCCUCUGCACCCUGGUAUGGAGGUGACCUCGGGACAGAGCCAAGUUCGCUGGAGGUGAAUCACGAAGCCAGUCUGGUGCUGUUUCCUCUCCCAACCUGUUGAGAAAAUGGAAACCCAGCAUUGCCCUGGCCUUGAAAAGAAAUUCGGGUCACUCGGAAUUUGAAUGAGCUAGUGAAUCAAAUGUACCACCGCAAAGAUUCUGGAAACUUUCAGGAGCCUUCUUGCAAACUUCCAAGUGAAUAUCAUUAAGCUCCUCUAGAAGCCUAAGAGAACUAGUGCUCGUUUCUGUGAAAUUAACGUUGAGUUAGGAACCUGGAGUGCACACGUGCAGGCACACACGCAGGUUUCUGUGGAGUUUCUGUCAGUAGGAGAGAAAUCUGGUUUAUUUCCCUUGGAUAAUGAAUUAGCUGGAUUUGUAACAGAAUGGUUGUGAUACCUAUAUGCUACUUUCUUACUAAAAAUAUUGCUAAAUUUCCUAACCCAGCCUUCCAAUAAAAGCAUGCACAGUUUGGUUACUUUUAUUGAUGUUUGGAAGUACGGCUGGAAAACAGGCAGCGGCACGCCUGCUGAUUUCUGUAAAUGCACAUGCUAAAAGUAAACUAAAGAUGUCAAUAAAUAUGCAUGCCAUUCUCUAUAGACAAAUAUUAUAUCUGUUUUCCAGCCUCCUCAGGUGGGAAUAAAAUCACCUCAUACAUAUAAACAUGACUUAGUAAUUUACUUUUUACGUUCAAAGAAACCCUUCGGAAUAAAGAAGAGUUUUUGAAAUAUUGAUGUCCAAAGUGUUUUGAGAUACAUUGAAUUCUAGACUUCAUUAUUCAGUAGAGCUUGCCCAAUGGAAACCAGUUAAGCAGCCUCAGGAUCCUGGCGUUUUGGGCCCCUAUAAGGUGCUUUAGAAUGAAUUAUCCUAUUUUUCUGACACAUUCGUAAUCUUUUAUUUAUAAUAAAAGAAAUGAUUAAAAGAUUUACGUUGACCCUUGAACAACGUGGCAGUUAGGGCCACUGGCCCCCUGCACAGUCGAAAAUCCACAUAUAACUUUUAGGACUCUAAAAAUGUACCUGCCAAUAGCCUAUUAACUGGAAGCCCUGCUGAUGACAUAAGCAAUAGAUUAUAACACGUAAUUUGUGUGUUGUAUGUAUUAUAUACUGUAUUCUUACAGUAAAGUAAGCUAGAGAAAAGAAAAUGUUAUUAAGAACAUCAUAAGAAAGAGAAAUAUAGUACAUUUUCUUUUCAUUAGGUAGAAGUGGAUGCUCAUAAAGGUCUUCAUCCUCAUCAUCUUCACGUUGGG
ensembl:lincRNA